rnacentral:rRNA from 1 species
UACGUAGGGUGCGAGCGUUGUCCGGAAUUACUGGGCGUAAAGAGCUCGUAGGUGGUUUGUCACGUCGUCUGUGAAAUUCCGGGGCUUAACCUCGGGCGUGCAGGCGAUACGGGCAAUACUUGAGUGCUGUAGGGGAGACUGGAAUUCCUGGUGUAGCGGUGAAAUGCGCAGAUAUCAGGAGGAACACCAAUGGCGAAGGCAGGUCUCUGGGCAGUUACUGACGCUGAGGAGCGAAAGCAUGGGGAGCGAACAGGAUUAGAUA